rnacentral:rRNA from 1 species
UACGUAGGCAGCGAGCGUUUGUUCGGAAUUACUGGGCGUAAAGAGUGUGUAGGCGGUGCUCCCAGUCUGUUGUGAAAUCUCCCGGCUUAACUGGGAGGGUGCAGCGGAAACUAGAGUGCUAGAGGGUGGGAGAGGUAAGCGGAAUUCCUGGUGUAGCGGUGAAAUGCGUAGAUAUCAGGAGGAACACCUGUGGUGUAGACAGCUUACUGGACCACUUCUGACGCUGAGACACGAAAGCGUGGGUAGCAAACAGG